rnacentral:rRNA from 1 species
AUUGAACGCUGGCGGUAGGCCUAACACAUGCAAGUCGAACGGCAGCACAGUAAGUGCUUCCUCUUACGGGUGGCGAGUGGCGGACGGGUGAGGAAUACAUCCGAAUCUACUUUUUCGUAGGUGAUAACGUAGGGAAACUUACGCUAAUACCGCAUACGACCUACGGGUGAAAGCAUGGGAUCUUCGGACCUUACGCGAUUGAAUGAGCCGAUGUCGGAUUAGCUAGUUGGGGGGGUAAAGGCCCACCAAGGCGACGAUCCGUAGCUGGUCUGAGAGGAUGAUCAGCCACACUGGAACUGAGACACGGUCCAGACUCCUACGGGAGGCAGCAGUGGGGAAUAUUGGACAAUGGGCGAAAGCCUGAUCCAGCCAUACCGCGUGGGUGAAGAAGGCCUUCGGGUUGUAAAGCACUUUUGUUGGGAAAGAAAAGCAGUAGGUUAAUACCUUGCUGUUUUGACGGUACCAACAGAAUAAGCACCGGCUAACUUCGUG